CUGAUAGAAGAUAUGUGUAGCUCAGAAGGCACUGAAAAAAUGUAACAGAUCUGAGUUGUACCUGCUGGGACAGAGCCACCCCAUCUUGGAACAGUGUUGGUUAGCAAUGUGGAGCAGUCUGGUGUGU
rnacentral:lncRNA from 12 species